rnacentral:lncRNA from 1 species
GCUUCAUAUUGACAUUUAUUUUUAUCAUGCAGGCUUCCAGUGGGGACCUUGCUGCCUCUGCCUCUCCUGAGAUGCACCACUACACACCCCUGCCUUCUGCUUCCAGAGAACUCACCAGUCACAGAGGUGGGACCUCAAUUUUUUAUUGCUUUCAGAGGUUGUGGGGAGGGACACUUGGCCUUGAGGUGCUAUGGGCUCUUGGCACUUCAGGAGGAACACAGUGCUUUUCAAGUCCUUGAUGGGAAAACCAUACCUGUCAAACUGAAUGAUUUUAAAC